rnacentral:rRNA from 1 species
ACGGGGGGUGCGAGCGUUGUUCGGAAUUAUUGGGCGUAAAGAGCGUGUAGGCGGCUGAAUAAGUCAGAUGUGAAAUCCCUGGGCUUAACCCAGUACGUGCAUUUGAAACUAUUCGGAUAGAGUAGGGGAGAGGAAAGUGGAAUUCCUGGUGAAGAGGUGAAAAAAGGAGAAAAAAGGAGGAAAAAAGGUGGCGAAGGAGAAAAACAGGAAAAAAAAAGAAGAUGAGAAAAGAAAGAGUGGGAAGAAAAAAG